rnacentral:rRNA from 1 species
AUGAAGCUGGAAUCGCUAGUAAUCGCAGGUCAGCAUACUGCGGUGAAUACGUUCCCGGGUCUUGUACACACCGCCCGUCACACCAUGGGAGCCGGAAAUGCCCGAAGCCAGUGACCCAACCCUAGGGAGGGAGCUGUCGAAGGUGGAGCCGGUAACUGGGGUGAAGUCGUAACAAGGUAUC